ensembl:lncRNA
AGCUUUGUUCGGGCAGAUUUCAUCCGGCAAUUUGGGGCUGGGUUUAUUGGAUUAUGACUUAAAUAGCAUUACGUCUAUAAAUGUCUUAUUUGAUGUCUUUUUUUGUUGUUGUUGUUUCAGUUCUCUGUGCUUGAUGCAAAGUGGGAUUUCCCCAGGAUUUACUGGAUCAUAUGUAUUUCAAACGUUUUUUAUUCUCUUUUAUUGCUUGCAAGGCAUUUCACUGGCUGGCGUGCGCUAAUUAAGCUGAAUGUAAAAUGUCAAACUAGAGAACACACACUUGGUUGUGGUAAAGCAGUUACACGCUGUCUCACCUAAGGGAGCCAGGGAACGUCAUGGUGAACAUCUGGAGCUCUUCAUAUGUGCAGCCCAACACACCCUUGCAGAGAGGCCAUGUUUCACCUACUGUCCAAUACUGUUAACCGAGGGUCAAUAAGGAUACUGACCUUCUCUUUGAUUGAGGGCCUUGCCAAAUCGCUCGCUGGAGUCCUGAGACAUAGGAGACAGACACCGAAUGAAAGUUAAACUUUUGGACAUAGAGACGGCAGAGUAAAAAGACCCUAAAGACCCUUUUUUGCUUUAAUUGUCCUUUUGUUCUUUUUUCUCUCCACAACCAAAUAUCAUUGGACCGCUGAUACCAUGUAAUGGGAUUUCGAGACUUUUCUUUGGAAGCUAAAAGUACUUUCCACUUAGGGGUAAAUUGCAUCAUCCCACGUGUGCUACAUUUCCCCCAUUAGUUUUCGGACCAUAUUCACAGCGAAAUGACGCCGUCCUGAGUGUCUUUUGUAAUGCAAAGCAGCACUCCACGGUGCGAGGCGAGAUGUUUAGUGGGGCUCUGGCGGCUUUUGUGCGAGGGUCAGACUCCUGAUGAGCCAGAUUUCAGGCCUGUCUUCGGCCAUGGAGCCUUUCAGAGCUACUCAUUUCCUUUAAAUGGGCCUCCAGCUGACGAAUGACUAUCUCUCUCAAUGACGAGAUGACACGUCUUCAACUGAAGCCAUGCAGGCCAGGGGGAAAAAAAGGGAGCAAGCAGAACUAACAAGUUCACACCAAACUUGAAUAGAUAAUAGGAGAAUGAUUUGGACAAGAGUGAGUUCAGUUUACCGUGAAGGGGAAGUGUUGGACUUGGUCUGAGGGUGCUUACAUUUCCCUCCAUCUUUGAUAUUGCAAAGGGAUUAAAUAGGAGACAAAGUGAUGAGAGCGAUUUGAAAAGGGGGUGAGACAAGGCAGCCAUGUUGGAAUUAGCAUAGCAUAGGGCUGCACAGUGCUGCAUAACCAUUUGCUU